CCUACACUCUAUAGAAGUCUAGUGGGAGGGCUUCAAUAUCUUACCUUUAGCAGGCCUGAUAUUGCUUUUGCCGUGAACACUCUUUGCCAGUUUAUGCAUACUCCUACAGAUACACAUUUUGCUGCUGUCAAACGUGUGCUGCGCUAUUUGGCUGGUACUCUGACUCACGGCAUUCAUUUCACCUCUGGUGAUGUUCAUCUGCAAGCCUAUUCCGAUGCAGACUGGGCAUGUGAUGUCAAUGACCGUCGGUCCACAACAGGGUAUGUUGUUUUUCUCGGCAAUAAUCCUAUCUCUUGGUGUGCUAAGAAGCAGAACACUGUCUCUCGUUCCUCGACUGAAGCAGAAUACUGGGCUCUUGCUAUCACUUCCGCUGAGUUAUCAUGGCUUCGCCAACUUCUACGUGAUCUUCAUAUCUUUCUUGAUCGUCCCCCUGUUCUUUGGUGUGACAAUAUUUUGGCUUUAGCCCUUGCUAGCAAUCCUGUGUUUCAUGCACGCACUAAGCACAUUGAGAUCGACUUCCACUUUAUCCGUGAGUGUGUUACUAGGGGUGAUAUGCUGGUUUCUCAUAUUCCUAGUAGUAAUCAACUGGCUGAUAUAUUCACUAAAGGGCUGCAUACUUCUCAGUUUUCUUAUCUGCGAAACAACCCAAUGCUUAGUCCCCCAAGCAUUAGCUUGAGGGGGGAUGUUAGUCUACAACCCAAACCACCAGAAUGAAUGUAACUCAUGAUGCACGUGUCUGUUAGGAUGGCCAAGUGUCUGUUAGUUAGGAUGAGCUGGCUAAUGAGUUGGCUGGUUGUUAUUGUUGUUAAUUUGUUCUUAACUUAAUUCACUAGUUAGUUAGCUAGAAGAGAUAUAUAAGUCUAAUUGUAAACUUUGUAAACAAGUAAG
rnacentral:lncRNA from 1 species